rnacentral:rRNA from 1 species
AACGAACGCUGGCGGCAUGCCUAACACAUGCAAGUCGAACGAGACCUUCGGGUCUAGUGGCGCACGGGUGCGUAACGCGUGGGAACCUGCCCUUAGGUUCGGAAUAACUCCCCGAAAGGGGUGCUAAUACCGGAUAAUGUCUUCGGACCAAAGAUUUAUCGCCUUUGGAUGGGCCCGCGUUGGAUUAGCUAGUUGGUAGGGUAAAAGCCUACCAAGGCGACGAUCCAUAGCUGGUCUGAGAGGAUGAUCAGCCACACUGGGACUGAGACACGGCCAAGACUCCUACGGGAGGCAGCAGUGGUGAAUAUUGGACAAUGGGCGAAAGACUGAUCCAGCAAUGCCGCGUGAGUGAUGAAGGCCUUAGGGUUGUAAAGCUCUUUUACCCGGGAUGAUAAUGACAGUACCGGGAGAAUAAGCUCCGGCUAACUCCGUG